rnacentral:rRNA from 1 species
UACGUAGGGUGCAAGCGUUAAUCGGAAUUACUGGGCGUAAAGCGUGCGCAGGCGGCUUUGCAAGACAGAUGUGAAAUCCCCGGGCUUAGCCUGGGAACUGCAUUUGUGACUGCAUGGCUGGAGUGUGGCAGAGGGGGAUGGAAUUCCGCGUGUAGCAGUGAAAUGCGUAGAUAUGCGGAGGAACACCGAUGGCGAAGGCAAUCCCCUGGGCCUGCACUGACGCUCAUGCACGAAAGCGUGGGGAGCAAACAGG